GCCGUGCCGGCGCCGCGCCCCCACCACCGGCCGCCGCCCAUCCUGCGCGGCCACGCCGACGGCGCGCCGCCACCGCUGACUGCCUGAGUUCACGAGAGAGAGGAAGAAAAGGAAAGGGAAAGAGAGAAAGAGAAAAAAGAAAGGGGAGAUAAAAGGAAGAGACUGACGCGUGGGGUCUAUCUGUCAUAGACUCAAUGGAGAGGGUUGAUGCAGAGACGGUUGAAGUCAAAAACGAAUUUGAGUG
rnacentral:lncRNA from 1 species